rnacentral:rRNA from 1 species
AAUUCGCCCUUAGAGUUUGAUCAUGGCUCAGAUUGAACGCUGGCGGCAGGCCUAACUCAUGCAAGUCGAGCGGUAGCACAGAGAGCUUGCUCUCGGGUGACGAGCGGCGGACGGGUGAGUAAUGUCUGGGAAACUGCCUGAUGGAGGGGGAUAACUACUGGAAACGGUAGCUAAUACCGCAUAACGUCGCAAGACCAAAGUGGGGGACCUUCGGGCCUCAUGCCAUCAGAUGUGCCCAGAUGGGAUUAGCUAGUAGGUGGGGUAAUGGCUCACCUAGGCGACGAUCCCUAGCUGGUCUGAGAGGAUGACCAGCCACACUGGAACUGAGACACGGUCCAGACUCCUACGGGAGGCAGCAGUGGGGAAUAUUGCACAAUGGGCGCAAGCCUGAUGCAGCCAUGCCGCGUGUAUGAAGAAGGCCUUCGGGUUGUAAAGUACUUUCAGCGAGGAGGAAGGCGUUAAGGUUAAUAACCUUAGCGAUUGACGUUACUCGCAGAAGAAGCACCGGCUAACUCCGUGCCAGCAGCCGCGGUAAUACGGAGGGUGCAAGCGUUAAUCGGAAUUACUGGGCGUAAAGCGCACGCAGGCGGUCUGUCAAGUCGGAUGUGAAAUCCCCGGGCUCAACCUGGGAACUGCAUUCGAAACUGGCAGGCUAGAGUCUUGUAGAGGGGGGUAGAAUUCCAGGUGUAGCGGUGAAAUGCGUA